GAUGAACGCUAGCGGCAGGCUUAAUACAUGCAAGUCGAGGGGCAGCAUGGGUAGCAAUACCUGAUGGCGACCGGCAAACGGGUGCGGAACACGUACGCAACUUUCCCAGAACUGGUGAAUAGCCCUCCGAAAGGAGGAUUAAUACACCGUAAGAUAGCGAUGUGGCAUCACAUUUUUAUUAUAGCUCCGGCGGUUUUGGAUGGGCGUGCGCCUGAUUAGGUAGUUGGCGGGGUAACGGCCCACCAGGCCUGCGAUCAGUAACUGGUGUGAGAGCACGACCAGUCACACGGGCACUGAGACACGGGCCCGACUCCUACGGGAGGCAGCAGUAAGGAAUAUUGGUCAAUGGACGCAAGUCUGAACCAGCCAUGCCGCGUGAAGGAUGAAGGCCCUCUGGGUUGUAAACUUCUUUUAUCUGGGACGAAAAAGGGGCAUCCUUGCUCAACUGACGGUACCAGAGGAAUAAGCACCGGCUAACUCCGUGCCAGCAGCCGCGGUAAUAC
rnacentral:rRNA from 1 species